GACGAACGCUGGCGGCGUGCCUAAUACAUGCAAGUCGAGCGGACUUUCAAGAAGCUUGCUUUUUGAAAGUUAGCGGCGGACGGGUGAGUAACACGUGGGCAACCUGCCUGCAAGACGGGGAUAACUCCGGGAAACCGGGGCUAAUACCGGAUAAUAUCUUCCUUCGCAUGAAGGAAGGUUGAAAGGCGGCGCAAGCUGCCGCUUGCAGAUGGGCCCGCGGCGCAUUAGCUAGUUGGUGAGGUAACGGCUCACCAAGGCGACGAUGCGUAGCCGACCUGAGAGGGUGAUCGGCCACACUGGGACUGAGACACGGCCCAGACUCCUACGGGAGGCAGCAGUAGGGAAUCUUCCGCAAUGGACGAAAGUCUGACGGAGCAACGCCGCGUGAGCGAAGAAGGUCUUCGGAUCGUAAAGCUCUGUUGUCAGGGAAGAACAAGUACCGUUCGAACAGGGCGAUACCUUGACGGUACCUGACCAGAAAGCCACGGCUAACUACGUG
rnacentral:rRNA from 1 species